UCCGUAGGUGAACCUGCGGAAGGAUCAUUACCGAGUGCGGGCUGCCUCCGGGCGCCCAACCUCCCACCCGUGACUACCUAACACUGUUGCUUCGGCGGGGAGCCCUCUCGGGGGCGAGCCGCCGGGGACUACUGAACUUCAUGCCUGAGAGUGAUGCAGUCUGAGUCUGAAUAUAAAAUCAGUCAAAACUUUCAACAAUGGAUCUCUUGGUUCCGGCAUCGAUGAAGAACGCAGCGAACUGCGAUAAGUAAUGUGAAUUGCAGAAUUCAGUGAAUCAUCGAGUCUUUGAACGCACAUUGCGCCCCCUGGCAUUCCGGGGGGCAUGCCUGUCCGAGCGUCAUUGCUGCCCAUCAAGCCCGGCUUGUGUGUUGGGUCGUCGUCCCCCCCGGGGGACGGGCCCGAAAGGCAGCGGCGGCUCCGUGUCCGGUCCUCGAGCGUAUGGGGCUUUGUCACCCGCUCGAUUAGGGCCGGCCGGGCGCCAGCCGACGUCUCCAACCAUUUUCUUCAGGUUGACCUCGGAUCAGGUAGGGAUACCCGCUGAACUUAAGCAUAUCAA
rnacentral:rRNA from 1 species